CCUACGGGGGGCAGCAGUGAGGAAUAUUGGUCAAUGGACGGAAGUCUGAACCAGCCAUGCCGCGUGCAGGAAGACGGCUCUAUGAGUUGUAAACUGCUUUUGUACAAGGGUAAACCUGAAUACGUGUAUUCUGCUGAAAGUACUGUACGAAUAAGGAUCGGCUAACUCCGUGCCAGCAGCCGCGGUAAUACGGAGGAUCCAAGCGUUAUCCGGAUUUAUUGGGUUUAAAGGGUGCGUAGGCGGAUUUAUAAGUUAGAGGUGAAAUGUCCGAGCUUAACUCGGGAACUGCCUCUGAUACUGUUGAUCUAGAGAGUAGAUGCGGUAGGCGGAAUGUAUGGUGUAGCGGUGAAAUGCUUAGAGAUCAUACAGAACACCGAUUGCGAAGGCAGCUUACCAAUCUAUAUCUGACGUUGAGGCACGAAAGCGUGGGGAGCAAACAGGAUUAGAUACCCUGGUAGUC
rnacentral:rRNA from 1 species